CGCCCACUGCACAGGCCAGGGCGACCCCUCAGAGCAGCCAUUAUGACUGUCGUCGCCCAUCAGAUGUGAAGACACCAAGCCAAAUAAUAACAUGUAACAAUGAGGCGAGAGUGUCAGGAGGGCAGAGAGGCUGUCAAAACGACGGCAACCACAACCACGCUGGCGUCUCCAGAAGCAGAGGAAAGAGCGUUUAAUCGCUUUGAAUGCUCUUCGUCAAGCUACGCCAGAGGAAGGAGCUCGGUGGUGGAUAGAAAACGCCUGAUAUGACUUGCGGGAGUCAAUCAAACCUCUCGUGCACCUGUGACCUACAAGACAUGGGAAAAAAUCUCCCGGCGGAAGAUAUUGUAUGGUUCUUUACAAUAAUUGAAUUCGAAUAUAUAUAUAUAUGUGUGUGUGUUUAAAUAGUCAGUUAUAAUUACGUAUUUGUCCUAAUUUAUCAUGCAGUGUAUCAGUCAGGCUGUUCGAUGCAGAAAUGCAAUACUAAUGCAUUAGAAAAUACAUUUAAACUAGAUCUUGUUUGUUAUAAUAUGUAGGCCAUAAUUAAAUCAUAGGUUGUACUAAAAAAAAAUGCUUCCUUGCUAAUCCGUCUCUGCCAAUCCAACUUGGUGUCCUGAAAUGACCUGGUAUCCUUGUAGUCUGAAACAUACGUAUGAAUACUGAGGCAGGUAAAAUCCUAAAACAAAAUGUAUUUUUUAAGUGACCAAUUAAAAUUGUGCUUAUGUUGAGGAACCGUUUUCACUUAUUAUAUUAUGUUGAUGCUUAUAUAUUUUUCCUUUGUCCUGGGUGUCCGUCAGGCAUUUAAAUGUAGCUGUGAGACAGACGUAACUUAGACUUGUGUAACUUGUAAACUGUUGAUAAUCCGCUGCAAUCGUGUGUUUUUUGUCUGCUUGGCACGUGGUUGUGGUAUGGGGAUGAAUCACAUUUUACUAAAAUAAAAUAUAUCAUCCGGGUUUCAGAAAACAUACUGAAGUUGCACUAACUGGAUCCCGUUUCAAGAAUACACCACAAUACUGUUUAUUUAUUGUAUGUUUAAGAAUGACCUCAUGUUUCUGUUUGAUUCUUUGUGUGGG
ensembl:lncRNA